CCUACGGGAGACAGCAGUGGGGAAUAUUGGGCAAUGGGCGCAAGCCUGACCCAGCAACGCCGCGUGAAGGAAGAAGGCUUUCGGGUUGUAAACUUCUUUUCUCAGGGACGAAGAAAGUGACGGUACCUGAGGAAUAAGCCACGGCUAACUACGUGCCAGCAGCCGCGGUAAUACGUAGGUGGCAAGCGUUAUCCGGAUUUAUUGGGUGUAAAGGGCGUGUAGGCGGGAGCGCAAGUCAGAUGUGAAAACUCAGGGCUCAACCCUGAGCCUGCAUUUGAAACUGUGUUUCUUGAGUGCUGGAGAGGCAAUCGGAAUUCCGUGUGUAGCGGUGAAAUGCGUAGAUAUACGGAGGAACACCAGUGGCGAAGGCGGUCUGCUGGACAGCAACUGACGCUGAGGCGCGAAAGCGUGGGGAGCAAACAGGAUUAGAUACCCCAGUAGUC
rnacentral:rRNA from 1 species